rnacentral:RNase_P_RNA from 1 species
AGUCGGGCAAUCGCUUCGUGUUAUGCACGGAGAGGAAAGUCCGGACACCAACAAACACCGCGCUUUGCGAUCCUUCGGGCGUAGCAAAGGCUUGGUUAGGGUGACUUAAUCAAGAUAGACAGUGCAACAGAAAGCAAACCGCCUCACUUGUUGAGGUAAGGGUGAAAAGGUGAGGUAAGAGCUCACCGUUCCUUGUAGCGAUACAGGAAGCUAGGUAAACCUCGCGGGGUGCAAGUUCAUGCAGGUGGUAUACGCCGUUUGUCGUGACGUCGCCGGGUGGAACGCACUAGAUAAAUGAUUGCCGAAUCUCGAAUUUCGAGAGGAACAAAAUCCGGCUUAUAGACUUUCCU